GCACCACAAGGGGUGAAGCCUGCGGUUCAAUUGGACUCAACGCCGGAAAACUUACCAGGGGAGACAGCAGUAUGACGGUCAGGUUGACGACCUUACCUAACGAGCUGAGAGGAGGUGCAUGGCCGUCGCCAGUUCGUGCCGUGAGGUAUCCUGUCAAGUCAGGCAACGAACGAGAUCCGCACCUUUAUUUGCCACCAAGAAGUCACGACUUCGUUGGGAACACUAAAGGGACCGCCGUCGAUAAGACGGAGGAAGGAGCGGGCAAAGGCAGGUCAGUAUGCCCCGAAACCCCUGGGCUACACGCGGGCUGCAAUGGUAUGAACAAUGGGCUGUGACUCCGAAAGGAGAAACCAAUCCCGAAAUCAUAUCUCAGUUGGAAUUGUCGGCUGUAACCCGCCGACAUGAACGCGGAAUCCCUAGUAAUCGUGUGUCAUCAUCGCACGGUGAAUACGUCUCUGCUCCUUGCACACACCGCCCGUCGCUCCAUCCGAGUGUGCUAAAAAUGAGGUUUGGUCAAUUUGGUCAUAUCGAGUUUCUAGUAUGCGAGGAGGGAG
rnacentral:rRNA from 1 species